CAUGGUGAUAAAUCCGCGGAAUAUCCAUGGGUUUUCCACGGAAUAAUUCGCUCUUUGCGCGUCCCCACGCGAUUACGUCAGUCUUGUGAAAUUCUUCUCAUAGGAAAGAACGCGAAAAGUGCUGAAUGUAUGCGAUGGAGACGGCACAGGGACCCCACAGUCAGAGAAGACUCGAGGUUUCCGGACAACGUCAAAGUAGGAGAAACAACCAAUGAAAAUAGGAUGCGGAAAAGCGGUUACCGGAGGAUCUACUUAUCCGACAGAGUGUGACUCAUGACAAGCAUUUUUCAAACAUAUCCGGACCGGUGCGAGAGGACAUCAAAGAGCAUCUCGACAUCCGGCGACCGCGGUACCAGUCGUCUAGAAGAGUAGCAGUCCCUGGGAAGCGGCAUAGCAGCCACCAAUGCAACGCGUCAUAAAAAUUUGAUACACAUUUGUAAGCUUGAUAGUUAAUAUUUAAUAAAUACAAAUCCAAAUAUAAAUGAGUCUUUUUUUGAAUAUUUUGGGGCGGAGCGCCGGGAAUUUCUGGGAGAAAUUUCACACAUUGGAAUUUCCUCCAUGGUAUUCCUUGUAAUCGUCCUUGGAUUGGUCAAUGGAAUCGCAAUGGAAAUCUUCCAUAUAUGGGAAAAGUCACCAUGGAAAAUUUGGAAGCAA